CCUGGUUGAUCCUCCCAGUAGUCAUAUGCUUGUCUCAAAGAUUAAGCCAUGCAUGUCUAAGUAUGAACUAAUUCAGACUGUGAAACUGCGGAUGGCUCAUUAAAUCAUUUAUAGUUUUUUUGAUGGUACCAUACUACUCAGAUAACCAUAGUAAUUCUAUAGCUAAUACAUGCACCAAGUCCCGACUCUUUGGAAGGGAUGCAUUUUUUAGAUAAAACGUUGGCGUGGGCUUGCCCACUUCUUGAGUGAAUCAUGAUAACUCGAUGGAUCACACAGCCCUUGUGUUGGCGAUGCUUCAUUCAAAUUUCUGCCCUAUCAACUUCCGAUGGUAGGAUAGAGGCCUACCGUGGUGUUGAUGGGUGACAGAGAAUUAGGGUUUGAUUCUGAAGAGGGAGCCUGAGAAACGGCUACCGCAUCCAAGGAAGGCAGUAGGUGUGCAAAUUACCCAAUCCUGACAUGGGGAGGUAGUGACAAUAAAUAACAAUACCGGGCUCAUCAAGUCUGGUAAUUGGAAUGAGUACAAUCUAAAUCCCUUAAUGAGGAUCCAUUGGAGGGCAAGUCUGGUGCCAGCAGCUAUGGUAAUUCCAGCUCCAAUAGCAUAUAUUUAAGUUUUUGCAGUUAAAAAGCUCGUAGUUGGAUCUUGGGUCGUAAAGGUCGGUCUGCCUACUCUGUGUGCACCUGCCCUUCCGUCCCUUUUGUCGGAAGCGUGUUCCUGGCCUUAAUUGGCUAGGUCGCGGCUUUGGCGCUAUUACUUUGAAAAAAUUAGAGUGCUCAAAGAAAUCUUAUGCUCUGAAUACAUUAGCAUGGAAUAAUGUGAUAGGAGUCUGGUCCUACUAUGUUGGCCUUCGGGACCGGAGUAAUGAUUAAUAGGGACUGUCGGGGGCAUUUGUAUUUCAUUGUUAGAGGUGAAAUUCUUAGAUUUAUGAAAGACAAACCACUUCGAAAUCAUUUGCCAAGGAUGUUUUCAUUAAUCAAGAAUGAAAGUUGGGGGCUCGAAGACGAUCAGAUACCGUCCUAGUCUCAACCAUAAAUGAUGCCGACCAGGGAUUGGCGGAUGUUGCUCUAAGGACUCCGCCAUCACCUUCUGAGAAAUCAGAGUGUUUGGGUUCCAGGGGGAGUAUGGUCGUAAGGUUGAAACUUAAAGGAAUUGACGGAAGGGAACCACUAGGAGUGGAGCCUGCGGCUUAAUUUGACUCAACACGAGGAAACUUACCAGGUCCAGACAUAGUAAGGAUUGACAGAUUGAGAGCUCUUUCUUGAUUCUAUGGGUGGUGGUGCAUGGCCGUUCUUAGUUGGUGGAGCGAUUUGUCUGGUUAUAACGAACAAGACCUCUGCUAACUAGCUACGUGGAGGUUCCCCUUUGCGGCCAGCUUCUUAGAGGGACUAUGGCCAUUUAGGCCAUGGAAGUUUGAGGCAAUAAUAGGUCUGUGAUGCCCUUAGAUGUUUUGGGCCACACGCACACUACACUGAUGCAAGCAACAAGUUUUUCUUCCUGGUUCGAGAGGAUUGGGAAAUAUUCUCAAAUUUCAACGUGAUGGGGAUAGACCAUUGAUGGUCUUCAAUGAGGAAUUCCUAGUAAGCAUGUGUCAUCAACUCGUGUUGACUACGUCCCUGCCCUUUGUACACACUGCCAGUCACUCCUACCGAUUGAAUGAUCCGGUGAAGUGUUCAAAUUGCGUCAACGAUGGUGGUUUGCCGCCGUCGACGUCGUGAGAAGUUCAUUGAAAUUUAUCAUUUAGAGGAAGGAGAAGUCAUAACAAGUUUAUCGUAGGUGAACCUGUGGUAG
rnacentral:rRNA from 1 species